CCUACGGGUGGCUGCAGUGGGGAAUAUUGGACAAUGGGCGAAAGCCUGAUCCAGCCAUGCCGCGUGUGUGAAGAAGGCCUUCGGGUUGUAAGCACUUUCAGUGGGGAAGAAAGCCUUGGGGCUAAUACCCUCGAGGAAGGACAUCACCCACAGAAGAAGCACCGGCUAACUCCGUGCCAGCAGCCGCGGUAAUACGGAGGGUGCGAGCGUUAAUCGGAAUUACUGGGCGUAAAGCGCGCGUAGGCGGUCUGAUAAGCCGGUUGUGAAAGCCCCGGGCUCAACCUGGGAACGGCAUCCGGAACUGUCAGGCUAGAGUGCAGGAGAGGAAGGUAGAAUUCCCGGUGUAGCGGUGAAAUGCGUAGAGAUCGGGAGGAAUACCAGUGGCGAAGGCGGCCUUCUGGACUGACACUGACGCAGAGGUGCGAAAGCGUGGGUAGCAAACAGGAUUAGAUACCCGAGUAGUC
rnacentral:rRNA from 1 species